AGAGUUUGAUCCUGGCUCAGGAUGAACGCUGGCGGCGUGCCUAACACAUGCAAGUCGAACGAAGCUUGACGGAUGAUUUCUUCGGAAUGAAACCAGAUAUGACUUAGUGGCGGACGGGUGAGUAACACGUGAGCAACCUGCCUUUCAGAGGGGGAUAACGGCUGGAAACGGUCGCUAAUACCGCAUGAUGUGUUCGGAUGGCAUCAUCUGAACAUCAAAGAUUUAUCGCUGAAAGAUGGGCUCGCGUCUGAUUAGAUAGUUGGUGGGGUAACGGCCUACCAAGUCUGCGAUCAGUAGCCGGACUGAGAGGUUGAACGGCCACAUUGGGACUGAGAUACGGCCCAGACUCCUACGGGAGGCAGCAGUGGGGAAUAUUGCACAAUGGGGGAAACCCUGAUGCAGCAACGCCGCGUGAAGGAUGACGGUUUUCGGAUUGUAAACUUCUUUUCUUAGUGACGAAGACAGUGACGGUAGCUAAGGAAUAAGCAUCGGCUAACUACGUGCCAGCAGCCGCGGUAAUACGUAGGAUGCAAGCGUUAUCCGGAUUUACUGGGUGUAAAGGGAGCGCAGGCGGGACUGCAAGUUGGAUGUGAAAUACCGUGGCUUAACCACGGAACUGCAUCCAAAACUGUAGUUCUUGAGUGAAGUAGAGGCAAGCGGAAUUCCGAGUGUAGCGGUGAAAUGCGUAGAUAUUCGGAGGAACACCAGUGGCGAAGGCGGCUUGCUGGGCUUUAACUGACGCUGAGGCUCGAAAGUGUGGGGAGCAAACAGGAUUAGAUACCCUGGUAGUCCACACUGUAAACGAUGAUUACUAGGUGUUGGAGGAUUGACCCCUUCAGUGCCGCAGUUAACACAAUAAGUAAUCCACCUGGGGAGUACGACCGCAAGGU
rnacentral:rRNA from 1 species